CAAAUCGACUGGCACCUUAAUCUUGAACUUCCAGUCUCCAGAGCUGUUGGGUUAUCUCAGAAGCAGAACCUGAGACAAGAAAGUGAGUGGAAGCAGUUUAUUUGGGAGAAAGUCCCAGGAAGCACUGGUAGCUUACACUCUUGGAUCACUGACUCUGAGGGAAGCCAACUACCCUAUUGUGAAGCUACACACCAGCUCUGAAGUGAGAUCCACAAGAUGAUUCUGUGAGCCGUCACAAGGAAUGAAAGCCUCCAGACAACAGCCGCAUGAGACAGUUAGAAAGAGGACCCUCUAGUACCUGUCAAGUCUCUAGACGGCAAAACCUGAGCCAGAACGACCCAGCUACGCUUCUCCCAGGUUCUUGGCUCACAAAAGCUGUGAAAAGAAAUGUUUGUUCUUUUAAGCCAUUGAGUUUUGGGGUAAUUUGUUAAGUGGCAGUAGAUAACUAUUAAUAAUAAAAUUGUAUUAGAUUUUUC